rnacentral:rRNA from 1 species
AUUGAACGCUGGCGGCAUGCCUUACACAUGCAAGUCGAACGGCAGCGCGGGGGCAACCUGGCGGCGAGUGGCGAACGGGUGAGUAAUAUAUCGGAACAUACCCUAGAGUGGGGGAUAACGUAGCGAAAGUUACGCUAAUACCGCAUACGCACUAAGGUGGAAAGUGGGGGGAUCUUCGGACCUCAUGCUCAUGGAGUGGCCGAUAUCUGAUUAGCUAGUUGGUGAGGUAAAGGCUCACCAAGGCGACGAUCAGUAGCUGGUUUGAGAGAACGACCAGCCACACUGGAACUGAGACACGGUCCAGACUCCUACGGAGGCAGCAGUGGGAAUUUUUGGGACAAUGGGCGCAAGCCUGAUCCAGCCAUGCCGCGU